rnacentral:rRNA from 1 species
GGUCUUUUCUAUGGAAGCUUGCUUCCACUGAGAAGAUAGUGGCGGACGGGUGAGUAACACGUGGGUAACCUGCCCAUAAGAGGGGGAUAACAUCCGGAAACGGGUGCUAAUACCGCAUAGUUUUCUUGAUCGCAUGAUUGAGAAAGGAAAGACGGCCUUUGUGCUGUCGCUUAUGGAUGGACCCGCGGCGUAUUAGUUAGUUGGUGAGGUAACGGCUCACCAAGACGAUGAUACGUAGCCGACCUGAGAGGGUGAUCGGCCACAUUGGGACUGAGACACGGCCCAAACUCCUACGGGAGGCAGCAGUAGGGAAUCUUCCGCAAUGGACGAAAGUCUGACGGAGCAACGCCGCGUGAGUGAAGAAGGUUUUCGGAUCGUAAAACUCUGUUGUCAGAGAAGAACAAGUCGGAGAGUAACUGCUCCGGCCUUGACGGUAUCUGACCAGAAAGCCACGGCUAACUACGUGCCAGCAGCCGCGGUAAUACGUAGGUGGCAAGCGUUGUCCGGAUUUAUUGGGCGUAAAGCGAGCGCAGGCGGUUCCUUAAGUCUGAUGUGAAAGCCCACGGCUCAACCGUGGAAGGUCAUUGGAAACUGGGGAACUUGAGUGCAGAAGAGGAGAGUGGAAUUCCAUGUGUAGCGGUGAAAUGCGUAGAUAUAU